AUUGAACUCUGGCGGCAGGCUUACCACAUGCAACUCGAACGAGUAACGGACGGGUGUGUAAUGUAUGGGAAACUGCCUGAUGGAGGGCGAUAACUACUGGAAACGGUAGAGACUACCGCAUACCAUCGGAUGUGCACAGAUGGGCAUAGCUAGUUGGGGGGGUAACGGCUCACCAAGGCGACGAACCAUAGCUGGUCUGAGAGGAUGACCAGCCACCGUGGAACUGAUACACGGUCCAGACGCCUACGGGAGGCAGCAGUGGGGAAUAUUGCACAAUGGGCGCACGCCUGAUGCAGCCGUGCCGCGUGUAUGAAGAAGGCCUUCGGGGUGUAAAGUACUUUCAGCGGGGAGGCGUUACCCGCAGAAGAAGCACCGGCUAACUCCGUGCCAGCCGCCGCGGUAAUAC
rnacentral:rRNA from 1 species